rnacentral:rRNA from 1 species
UACGGAGGGUGCAAGCAUUAAUCGGAUUUAUUGGGCGUAAAGAGCGAGCAGGCGGAUAAGAAAGUCAGGUGUGAAAUUUCGAGGCUCAACCUCGAAGCUGCGCUUGAAACUCCUUAUCUAGAGGAUAGGCGGAGAAAAUGGAAUUCCACGUGUAGCGGUGAAAUGCGUAGAUACGUGGAAGAAUACCGGUGGCGAAAGCGAUUUUCUAGCUUAUAUCUGACGCUCAUUCGCGAGAGCAAGGGGAGCAAACAGG